rnacentral:lncRNA from 1 species
UUGGGCCAUUAUUCUGCCAUUCCAUCACAUAUCCAAACACCUCUUAAACUUUUUUUUUUGUUUUUUAAUAGCCCCCAGCCUACUCCCUAAAUCCCAUCCAACCUUCUUGUCCAUCCCUUUAUCCAAUUACUCUGUUUUCUUCUCAUUCCAGCAACCAGGGAACAAACACGCGCGAUCAGAAAAACAUGGUAUGUGUUGCUUCUUCUCUAUCUAUAGCGCAGCACACCCAAAUCGCCUUUCGCUCCAGCAAGCGAUAAUAAACGGCAAAUAGACGAUGUAUCUCUCAACUCUUCAGUAACAGCAUCAGCGUCGAGAUCGAGUCACGUUGCUCGCCAAGGACACUCGAGUCAAUCCCAGACGUUCGUCUCCCAUUCCUCUUUCGGAUGGGUUGAAUAUCUCAGGAAAAGGGUAUCAAAGGUGAAAGAUUCUCGGAAAUCAAAUUCAAAAAUGGGCCCUUCUUAUCAAAAUCCUCAUUCGAUUUCCCCCCAAGAAAAAAAAAUUCUGCCCUAGUCUCCCUCUUUAUAACUUUCUAUCUUUCUCAGUAUAAAGGGAAGAAAAAAAAUAUUUUAUUUUUGGAAAUUCCUUUUGUUGGAAAUUUUUGGUCGGAAGUCUUAGAGAAAAAUCGAGAAUAACCUUAAGAAAAUAUUAGCUAAGAAAUACAGUAAGACAUUGAAAGAAGAGGGUGUCUUGGUUUCGAUCGAGACACCACGUUUUUCAUUCCAUUUGCAUAGGUUCAUUUGAGAUGCGAAUUUGUGAAGGAAGUCUCCGGCAACUCAUCGUCCCAGGAAAGGUAAAAUUCCUUAUGAUUCUGUCUCUCUCUCUCUCUCCUUUUUUUCGGUUUAUCAUUUAUUGCCCUUUUCUGCUUAUAUUUUGUAAAAAUGAGAGUUUGCGUCCUUUGUUUCCCUUCCUCCCUUUUCUAGGAUACAUAUGUUAUUCCAUUUGAUCUAAUAUUUAAAGCUUACGUCGUCAGUCUUGUUUGAUGAUCAAGAUGCUUUUAGUUUGAGAUGUGUUUUAUCUGAUUUUCUCUAUGUUGACAUGCAAUACUUCGACCCUUUUCAAAGAUAGGAGCAGAAUCUUGUUAACUUGGAUUUUUUGUGUAUGUAUGCAUCUAAGAGCUUGCCGGUUAGAUCGACUCUUAAAUAGAAUAAGCAUAUCGUUUUUCUUUUUGUUAACUUCCCUUUACAGUGUUGUAAGAAAAGGGGAAGAACCUUAAAUUCUAAAAAAUUUUGUUGUUGUCCUAGUUUUGAACUACUACAUGUUGCUCAAGCAUGGGAGUUUCUUUGUUUUUUUUUUAAUGAUUAAUUGGCUCUUCUUUAUUUGCUUUUUAAAUGCAUGUGCUAAUUGGAAUAUUUCUUAUCUGAUUUUUUUUUUAGUUUUUGGAAAAUAUAUGUAUUAAUUUUUUCAUGACUUGUUAGUUUAAGCUUCUUAAAAAUAGCAAAAUGUCUUGACUAUGUAAUUUUUAAAAUUUUAUUUUUCUGCUGCACCUUACCUUACCAGUAGACUUAAAAGUGGAAAUUAAAGGUAAAAUGUGACCUUCCUUGUUUGUGUCUUGUCGUUGUUGUCAUUCAUAUGAAUUUGAAGCAAGCAUGUUUUAUCUUUGGAUGUUAAGUGAGUUGAACCCAUUUAUUUAUGCAAAGUAAUUGUUGCCAAUCUGUGUUAAGAAAACCAGAAAUUACUGGUUGUAAUAAAUCAUUCAGAGACACGAAGUAACUGAGAUUUUUAGAACCAGUAAAUAAGAUGAACAGAAAUUUAUUUGUAAAAAUAAUUUAAUAUGUAAAACUUACCAGAAUCUUGAAUACUCUUUUUGAUAAUUUAGGAAGAAAAUCAAGUCCACUGAAUUCUCAGUGUCCCCUUAAGGAAAUUAUUUCCCUCUAGUAUCCGAGGUUUGAUUUGGAAUAUAACCUCCCAGGGUAAAAUGAUCUUAAUAAGUAGAGUAUAGAUACCAAAAACUCUGCUGUCAGUGAAUCAAUCCACAGCAGGAAAGUACACGAAGAAAAAAUGUGUUUAUUAAAAAGUAGGAAGAUCAAAAAAUUCGUUAGUAAAUAUUCUGAAGACUGAAUGGUAUUUAUAGGCAAGAAUAAUAUAUUCUGAAAGGUGGGAACCCUUUCAGAAUUGACACAACCAUUAAUGAAAGGUUGCAAACUUUCAAAUGGUAUUGACUGUUCCUGAAAGUUGCAACCUUUCAGAACAGUGGCGGAAUUUUUUAAAUAUAACGGAAUUUAAAAUGGAUCACGCGCGCGGAUCCGAGUCGGGUCGGGUUAACUAAAAAGUUGAAAACAUUUCGGUUAAUUUCUGUUAUCAACUAAUUAAUUGAAAAUAAUUUUUGGCCAUUUAAUUAAUUAAAUAAAUAAUAAAAAUAAAUUUUUCCAAAAAAUUAUCUCUCGAUUUGCCAAAGCCAAAGACAAAGCCGAAGCGAGCGAGCGACGACGACGACGGCGCGAGGGGGGUCCCUCUUUCCAACCCUUUUAAUAAUUAAUAGGAGUGUUUAUUUAUUUAAACUCUCUUAUUUUUAUUUCUAUUACCGCUGAGGGACUAUUGCCUUUUUUAUUAAAGCAUUAGAGGACUUUUCAAGUUUCCAACCUUUCAAGUUCUAAACUUUUCAAAUUCCUCUCCUUCCCUCUAUUUCCCAUCAAUUCUUGCUACAUACCCAACAUUCCCCCACAUUGAUGGGGAAUAGUGAUAACAUAGGAAUGCACGGACAAUUGCGUACUUUACAAGCAACGAUUAAUUGCAUCUGGAUAAGUAGGUUUCCCCUUGGACUUUCCGUAGUGAACAUAUGUCAGAUAUACUCGGUCAAUCGGUAGAUGUGAUAUUUUUGAACCGUCGAACUUUGGUGUAUACCUAGACAACCAUAUGUCACACAAUUAACCCUUUACUGUUUAUGAUUCUUACGGUUGUGUUCGUUUCAGCCAUGAACACCUCCUGGUUUCAUGAGUGUAUAGAGAAUAGGCUUUUGACAUAAAAUUCUCUUUGAAGCGGCUUCCACUUCACACUCACAUAGGUGAUUUCUAACUGUGUCAUCUCGUAGAUACACUAUUUGGUCAAAUCUACCAAACUUAGCAAAUCAUUAAAAAAACUUUAAGUUUUAUUACCUCAUUAACAAGCCUUAAAGUCUUAACCUUUUCCUGAACAUUGUCUUCAUCAUGAGAAUGGAUUGAGUUAAUUGACAAUGUCGAACCGUCAGCCACAACUUUGUUUUUCUCCUUGAAUCUAGAUCUUGGGAUCUCCAGUCCGCUAGAUAGAGUUACCGUCAUGCUGACUUGUCCUAAGCCGUAAACCCAUUCCCUUAGAUGAUCUUUCAACUGCCUCUCUCACUAGGCCUCUCGUUAGUGGAUCUGACACAUUAUCGCUUGACUUUACAUAGUCAAUUGUGAUAAUUCCACUAGAGAGCAGUUGUCUUAUGGUGUUAUGUCUACGUCGUAUAUGAAGAGACUUCCCGUUGUACAUAAUGCUCCCUGCCGUACCUAUUGCUGCUUGACUAUCGCAAUGUAUGCAAAUUGGUCCAACAGGUUUGGGCCAUAAUGGAAUAUCCUUUAGGAAUUUCCGGAGCCAUUCUGCUUCUUCACCAGCCUUAUCCAAAGCAAUGAAUUCAGAUUCCAUUGUGGAGCGAACAAUACAUGUCUGUUUGGAAGAUUUUCAAGAGACAGCUCCUCCACCAAGUAUGAAUACAUAACCACUCCUGGAUUUUACAUCAUUUGACCCGGUGAUCCAAUUUGCAUCACUAUAUCCUUCAAUCACAUCAGGAUAUUUAUUAUAAUGCAAAGCAUAAUGUUGUGCCAUUUUAAAUAACCCAACACACGUUUCAUAGCCAUCCAGUGAGUUUGAUUCGGAUUACUAGUGUACCGAAUCAGUUUACUAAUAGCACAUGCUAUAUCUGGUCGCGUGCAAUUCAUAAUAUACAUCAUACUUCCCAACACUCUGGCAUAUUCCAAUUGAGAGUCACUUUGACCUUCAUUUUUUUUAAAUGUACAACUUAAAUCAAUUGGAGUUUUGACUACAUUGAAAUUCAAGUAAUUGAACUUAUCCAAUAGUUUUCCAAUAUAAUGAGAUUGAGAUAAUGCUAGUCCCUGGGGAGUUUUGAUAAUCCUGACCCCUAAGAUCAAAUCAGCAACUCCUAAGUCUUUCAUAUCGAACUUGCUGGACAACAUGCGCUUAAUAGCAUUUAUAUCAUCAAUUUCUUUACUCAUUAUUAACAUGUCAUCAACAUACAAACAAACAAUUACUUCAUGAUUCAUAACGUUUCUAAUGUAAACAUAUUUAUCACAUUCGUUAAUCUUGAAUCCAUUUGCUAACAUUACUUGAUCAAAUUUAGCAUGCCAUUGUUUGGGUACUUGCUUGAGUCCAUAAAGUGACUUCACAAGUUCGCACACUUUCUUUUCUUUACCAGAAACUAUAAACCCUUCAGGUUGUUCCAUGUAAAUUUCUUCCUCUAACUCUCCAUUUAAGAAGGCUGUCUUUACAUCCAUUUGGUGGAUUUUAAGAUCAUGCACUGCUGCUAGUGCUAUUAAUAUCCUAAUUGAUGUUAUCCUUGUUACUGGAGAGUUUGUGUCAAAGUAGUCCAGACCUUCCUUUUGUCUAUACCCUUUGACUACUAGUCUAGCCUUAUAUUUGUCAAUAGUCCCAUCAGGUUUCAUUUUCCUUUUAAAGAUCCAUUUUGAUCCUAAAGGUUUAUUUCCUGGAGGAAGAUCAGUCAAUUCCCAAGUGUGAUUGCUUAAAAUUGAUUCAAUCUCAUUAUUGACAACUUCUUUCCAAUAAGUUGACUCUGACGAAGACAUAACUGCUUUAAAUGUUUGAGGCUCAUUUUCAAGCAAUAGUGCUACAAAAUCUGGUCCGAAAGAAACAGAUUUUCGUUGUCGAGUACUUCGCCUAGGUUCCUCACUAGUUAGAAUAUUUUCCAUUGAUUCUUCUCGUGGUCGUUUAGGGCUUUCACUUGUUGACUCACUUUCAGUUUUAUACGGAUAAAUAUUUUCAAAAAACUCUGCAUUAUCUUAUUCAAUUAUCGUAUUAACAUGAAUCUCAGGAUUAUCAGAUUUGUGAACCAAAAAUCGACAAGCUUUACUAUUCACAGCAUACCCAAUAAAGACACAAUCUAUUGUUUUGGGUCCAAUUUUAACCCUCUUAGGUAAAGGAACCUCUACCUUGGCUAAACACACCCACACUUUGAAAUAUUUCAAGUUGGGUUUUCUUCCUUUCCACAACUCAUAUGGAAUUGAUUGUGUUUUUCGAUGGGGUACUCUAUUGAGUAUUUUAUUAGCUGUAAGGAUGGCUUCCCCCCAAAGAUUUCGCGGUGAACUAGAAUUGAUCAUUAAGGCAUUCAUCAUUUUCUUUAAUGUUCUGUUCUUCCAUUCUGCCAAACCAUUUGACUGUGGUGUAUAAGGUGCAGUAGUUUGAUGAAUAAUACCAUAUUCCAAACAUAUCUCUACAAAAGGAGAUUCAUAUUCUCCACCCCUAUCACUCCGAAUCAUUUUUAUCUUUAGAUUCAAUUGGUUUUCCACUUCAUGUUUGUAUUGCUUAAAUGCAUCAAUUACUUCAUCCUUACUAUUAAGCAAAUAUACAUAACAAAAUCGAGUGAGCCAUCAAUAAAAGUUAUAAAAUACUUUUUCCCACCACGAGAUGGUGUUGACUUCAUAUCGCAUAUAUCUGUGUGAAUUAAGUCUAAAGUUUUAGAAUUUAUUUCAACAGACUUGUAAGGAUGUUUAACAAACUUACUUUUCACACAAAUUUCACAUUUCGACUUGUCGCAUUUAAAAUCAGACAAUACUUCUAGAUUAACCAAUUUUCACAAGGCUUUGUAAUUUACAUGUCCCAAACGGGCAUGCCGUAAAUCACUUAACUCCAAUAAGUAAACAGAAGCAGAAUUUUUAUUAAUACUGUCAAUAACCAUUACAUUAAGUUUGAAAAGACCCUCAUUGAGAUAGCCCUUUCCUAUAAACAUUUCAUUCUUACUUAUUACAGCUUUAUCACUAACUAGGACACACUUAAACCCGUUCUUAACGAGUAGUGCAGCAGAAACUAAAUUCUUCCUAAUAGUAGGGACAUGCAGAACAUUGUUUAAAGUCAAUACUUUGCCGGAUGUCAUUUUCAGCAUUACUUUCCCAGUUCCUGCAAUCCUUGCUGUUGCUGUGUUUCCCAUGAAUAAAUCGUACUCAGCAGGAGUGUACGUUGCAAAGGCUUUUUUUGCAGAGAAAAUAUGUCUAGUAGCUCCUGAGUCGAGAAACCACUCCUUGGGAUUUCCAACUAAGUUACACUCUAAUAUCAUUGCACACAAGUCAUCUGCAUCUUCCAUCUUUUCCACGAUGUUUGCUUGACUUUUGCCUUUGCCUUUGUUUUUGUCCUUUCUUGGAGCAUGACAAUCAGAAGAUCUAUGACCAGCCUUGCCACAAUUAUAACAGUUGCCUUUGGAUUUCUUCUUGGCCUGUUCUGACUUCUGCCCGUUGGACUUCUUUCUCUUUUUGUCUUUGGUAGGAGCUUCUUCAAUAAUAUUAACUCCAAUGAUUGUUGAACUCUUACGAAACUUCUUUUCGACAUUUCUGUUAUCUGCCUCAAUCUUGAGACGAAUCACAAGAUCUUCAAGCUUCAUUUCUUUACGCUUGUGCUUUAGAUAAUUCUUGAAAUUAUUCCACGAAGGAGGCAACUUCUCGAUCAUUUCAGACAUUUGAAAAGCUUCAUUUACUACCAUAUCUUCAGCAAUCAGAUUAUGGAGAAUAAGUUGAAUUUCCUGCACUUGUAAUCCAACAGUUUUACUAUCUACCAUUUUAUAGUCUAAAAACUUUGCGACCACAAAUUUUUUCAAGCAUGCAUCUUCUCUCUUAUAUUUCUUCUCAAGUGCAUUCCACAACUCUUUUGAAGUUGUUAUUGCACUAUAGACAUUAUAUAAGUCAUCCUCUAAAGCACUCAAACUGUAACCUUUACAUAGGAAGUCUGACUGUUUCCAUGCUUCAACAAUCAUAAAUUUUUCCCUGUCUGGCAUGUCAUCAGCGGGUACUGCAGUAUCUUCACUUGUAAAUUUCUAGAGACCAAGAGUGGUAAGCCAGAAAAAUACUCAUUGCUGCCAUCCUUUGAAAUUCACACCUGUGAAUUUACCCGGUUUCUCUGCUUGUGAUACAAGAGUUCGGGUUGGUGCAGCAACAGCCACUGUAACACCAGUGUUUUCCAUUUCUGAUAAACAAAAUUAAUACAAUAUAAGUAAGCAAUAAAUUAUAAUUGCAGACUUAAAGGAGUAUAAAAUCAUAAAGAUUUUUGUCUCCACCAGAAACACAGAUUUAUGUAAUUUCCUUAAGAUUGUUGCCAAUCUGUGUUAAGAAAACCAGAAAUUACUGGUUGUAAUAAAUCAUUCAGAAACACGAAGUAACUAAGAUUUUUAGAACUAGUAAAUAAGAUGAACAGAAAUUUAUUUGUAAAGAUAAUUUAAUCUGUAAAACUUACCAGAAUCUUGAAUACUCUUUUUGAUAAUUUAGGAAGAAAAUCAAGUCCACUGAAUUCACAGUGUCCCCUUAAGGAAAUUAUUCCCCUCUAGUAUCCGAGGUUUGAUUUGGAAUAUAACCUCCCAGGGUAAAAUGAUCUUAAUAAGUAGAGUAUAGAUACCAAAAACUCUACUGUCAGCGAAUCAAUCCACAGCAGGAAAGUACACGAAGAAAAAAUGUGUUUAUUAAUAAGUAGGAAUAUCAGAAAAUUCGUUAGUAAAUAUUCUGAAGACUGAAUGGUAUUUAUAAACAAGAAUAAUAUAUUCUGAAAGGCAACCCUUUCAGAAUUGACACAACCAUUAAUGAAAGGUUGCAAACUUUCAAAUGGUAUUGACUGUUCCUGAAAGUUGCAACCUUUCAGAACAGUGGCGGGAAUUUUUAAAAUUAUCUCUCGAUCGAUCAUUUGCCAAAGCCGAAGCCGAAGCCGAAGCGAGCGAGCGACGACGACGACGGCGCGAGGGGGGUUCCUCUUUCCAACCCUUUUAAUAAUUAAUAGGAGUGUUUAUUUAUUUAAACUCUCUUAUUUUCAUUUCCAUUAACGAUGAGGGACUAUUGCCUUUUUUAUUAAAGCAUUAGAGGACUUUUCAAGUUCCCAACCUUUCAAGUUCUAAACUUUUCAAAUUCCUCUCCUUCCCUCUAUUUCCCAUCAAUUCUUGCUACAUACCCAACAGUAAUUGUUUAAUCUUUGUUAAGUCACUUUUUGUGUUGAAAUUAUUUACUUUUCUCCCCAACUCCCAAAAUCUCGUCUUUCCUCUUUCGUGUCAUUUUCAACCUGAGACGGAGUGGGUUAAUCAUUUGACUAGUUCUAAUACUCGGGCUUAGCAUUUAAUUGCUACUUUGCUCUCUUUUGUGAAGAUUUUGGCUUUUGGAACUUUGGUUUUUUUGAGCAUAAUUGCUAUAUAUUAUACAGUCUUGGCAUAAUUUUAGCAUAUUUUACUCCUUUUGAACGACCAAUGGGUGGUUUUCUUUUUUUAUUUCCAUGUGUAGAGUUUCAAAUCUUGCUAUACCAUUCAUGGACGGUCCUUUAAGUAUAAAUUCUAAUCCUUAUUGUGUUUCUUUUGUAUGUGACCUUUGCAUUUGGAGUUGCAUUAAAGCCAAAUUCCGCUAUCGAGUCAGCCAGCAUUAAAAGCAAUGUACAGGCCGAGAAAAUUCGAGAGAUUGGGAUAGAGAAUUCAAAUUUAUAUUUUUAAAUUUUUUUUUGAUUUUGGGGUAUAAACUCUUAUCGUUUUUGUAUUUAUUAUUUUUUCUAGAAUUUAGAACAGGUACCAAAUAGAUUGGGCUUAAGGCCCAAAAAUAAAUGGGUCUAAAUACCGGUUCAGGUAAACAGAAACUGGACGUUGACUCAGCUCUCUCUCUCUUACUUUUUUGUUUAUGUGUUUUGUUAUUAUGUGUCGUUAGUCUUAGGGUUAAAAACUCGAAUUCCUCGCAGGAUGCUAUUUCGUUUUAAUGACUUAAUCAAAUCAAGUAAAUAACUUAAAAUAAAUUUUACAAAUUUUCACUUAGAUACUAGAAUUAAAAUUUUCAUUUUGAAAAGCAAUUCUAAGAAAAUAUUGUUUUAUCUUAAUCUUAAGUUAAACAUUUUAGUCAAACUAAGUUAGUUGUCGGAAAAUUGUAUGAACAGAUAUUUUAGGUGCCUUAAGCACCUUCUUAAAAUAUAAAUAUGAAUUUCCGAACCCCCUUAAGUAUUUUCAACUGGUUUACUGUUUUAAUCGAUUAAAAAUCAAAUUUUCUUGAUUUUUCCUUAAAAAAUAAAGUGACGACCUUUUAAUUCAAAAACCGAUUUUUCUUAAAUUAUAAGUUUGAUUGAUUUUUUUGAAACUUAGUCAUUUUUUCAAGUUUGACUAUAUUAUAUAUUUUUGUUAAAACAGAAAUGACGACUUUGUUAAUUUGGAAAUAGAUUUUUCUUAAAUCAUAAAUAAAUUAAUUUUUCAAAAUUUUGUCAUUUUUUCAAAUUUGACUAUAUUAUAUAUUUUCGUUAAAACACCAACUAAUAUCAAACUCGUGAAUACAAACUUCAAUACUCA